rnacentral:rRNA from 1 species
AACGAACGCUGGCGGCAUGCCUAACACAUGCAAGUCGAACGAGACCUUCGGGUCUAGUGGCGCACGGGUGCGUAACGCGUGGGAACCUGCCUUUAGGUUCGGAAUAACUCAGAGAAAUUUGAGCUAAUACCGGAUGAUGUCUUCGGACCAAAGAUUUAUCGCCCUUAGAUGGGCCCGCGUUGGAUUAGCUAGUUGGUGGGGUAAAGGCCUACCAAGGCGACGAUCCAUAGCUGGUCUGAGAGGAUGCUCAGCCACACUGGGACUGAGACACGGCCCAGACUCCUACGCGAGGCAGCAGUGGGGAAUAUUGGACAAUGGGCGAAAGCCUGAUCCAGCAAUGCCGCGUGAGUGAUGAAGGCCUUAGGGUUGUAAAGCUCUUUUACACGAGAUGAUAAUGACAGUAUCGGGAGAAUAAGCUCCGGCUAACUCCGUG